rnacentral:ncRNA from 1 species
AAGCACCCCGGGAGGGGAGUGAAAUAGAACCUGAAACCGUAUACUUACAAGCGGUCGGAGCGUUUUGUGGCGGACGGCGUGCCUUUUGCAGAAUGAGCCUACGAGUU